rnacentral:rRNA from 1 species
UACGUAGGGCGCAAGCGUUGUCCGGAAUUAUUGGGCGUAAAGAGCUCGUAGGCGGCUUGUCACGUCGAUUGUGAAAGCCCGGGGCUUAACUCCGGGUCUGCAGUAGAUACGGGCUAGCUAGAGUGUGGUAGGGGAGAUCGGAAUUCCUGGUGUAGCGGUGAAAUGCGCAGAUAUCAGGAGGAACACCGGUGGCGAAGGCGGAUCUCUGGGCCAUUACUGACGCUGAGGAGCGAAAGCGUGGGGAGCGAACAGG